AGGUAUACAGCUCAGCGGUAGAGCGCAUGCUUAGCAUGCAUGAGGUCCUGGGUUUGACCCCCCCAGUACCU
rnacentral:tRNA from 1 species